rnacentral:rRNA from 1 species
AUUGAACGCUGGCGGCAGGCCUAACACAUGCAAGUCGAACGAGUGGCGGACGGGUGAGUAAUGUCUGGGAAACUGCCUGAUCGAGGGGGAUAACUACUGGAAACGGUAGCUAAUACCGCAUACGAUCGGAUGUGCUCAGGGGGGAUUAGCUAGUAGGUGGGGUAAAGGCUCACCAAGGCGACGAUCCCUACCUGGUCCGGGAGGCUGACAGGCCACACUGGAACUGAGACACGGUCCAGACUCCUACGGUAGGCAGCAGUGGGGAAUAUUGGACAAUGGGCGAAAGCCUGACUGAGCCACGCCGCGUGUGUGAAGAAGGUCUUCGGGUUGUAAAGCUCUGUCGGUAGGGAAGCGUUACCCACAGAGAAAGCAACGGCUAACUCCGUGCCAGCAGCCGCGGUAAUUC